rnacentral:ribozyme from 1 species
UAUGAAUUUAACCCUGUAACGGGAUGGGAUCCGAAGCCUCCUCAAGAUUCCAUCCAACUACUAUUGCGGCACGUGCACGUGGUUCAGGGUGGUAACAUGGGCCUAAACCUAACCUUUUGGGCGGGUGACGGGUCAUGGCUAAGGAGGAAGGG